GUGUCAGCCGCCGCGGUAAUACGUAGGUGGCAAGCGUUGUCCGGAUUUAUUGGGUUUAAAGGGUGCGUAGGCGGUCUAUUAAGUCAGUGGUGAAAUAUGGCAGCUUAACUGUCAGGGUGCCAUUGAUACUGAUGGACUUGAGUGAAGUCGAAGUAGGCGGAAUUGACGGUGUAGCGGUGAAAUGCUUAGAUAUCGUCAAGAACACCGAUAGUGAAGACAGCUUACUAGGCUUAUACUGACGCUGAGGCACGAAAGUGUGGGGAUCAAACAGGAUUAGAAACCCUGGUAGUCC
rnacentral:rRNA from 1 species